GGUCGGUGGCGGGGACGGAGGCGCUGGUCGCCUCGGACGGCCGCGGCACGAACCGCAGGCGCUCGAGUCGCUGUCCGACCAC
rnacentral:tRNA from 1 species